GUAGUGACGAAAAAUAACGAUGCAGAACUCGAUCCGAGGCUCUGCAAUCGGAAUGGGCACAGCCCAAAACAUUUAACGAGUAGCAACUGGAGGGCAAGUCUGGUGCCAGCAGCCGCGGUAAUUCCAGCUCCAGUAGCGUAUAUUAAAGUUGCUGCGGUUAAAAAGCUCGUAGUUGGAUCUGUGUAUCGCACCGUCGGUUCGCCGCCCGUCGGCGCUCAACUGACGCGUACGCAGUACGUCCUAGCCGGACGCUCCGUCGAGGUCGGAGAUUGAGUUUCGGUAAUCAUCCCGAUCUCUCCGGUCAUACCUCCCGUCCGCUAAUGGGUCCGCGUCCGGUUCACGUCCUCCCGGCUACCCUCGCGGUACGUCCGGGCAGCGUCCUCUGUCCGGCGCGGUACUCGGGCGGGGUAAAAUUUACGGAGGCCGUUCGAUCCGGCCCUCGUCACGGAGCGAACCCCGUCUCGCAUGCUCUUAACCGAGCGUCGAGAUGGGCCGGCACUUUUACUUUGACAAAAAGUAAGUGCUCAAAGCAGGCUGAAUUUACCGCCAGAAACUAACUUGCAUGGAAUAAUAGAAUAGGACUGCGGUCCUAAUUUUGUUGGUUUUAAGGAACCGCGGUAAUGAUUAAUAGAAACUGACGGGGGCAUUAGUACUGCGGCGCUAGAGGUGAAAUUCUUGGAUCGUCGCAUGACUAACCUAAGCGAAAGCAUUUGCCAAGGAUGCUUCCAUUAAUCAAGAACGAAAGUUAGAGGUUCGAAGGCGAUCAGAUACCGCCCUAGUUCUAACCAUAAACUAUGCCAACCAGCGAUCCGCCGGCGUUCCUAUGAAUGGCUCGGCGGGCAGCUUCCCGGGAAACCAGAGUUUUUGGGUUCCGGGGGUAGUAUGGUUGCAAAGCUGAAACUUAAAGGAAUUGACGGAAGGGCACCACCAGGAGUGGAGCUUGCGGCUUAAUUUGACUCAACACGGGAAACCUCACCAGGCCCAGACACCGUGAGGAUUGACAGAUUGAUAGCUCUUUCUGGAUUCGGUGGAUGGUGG
rnacentral:rRNA from 1 species